rnacentral:rRNA from 1 species
GAAUCCCACAGGCCGUAAACCCAAGGUUUCCAGGGGAAGGUUCGUCCGCCCUGGGUUAGUCGGGACCUAAGCUGAGGCCGAAAGGCGUAGGUGAUGGACAACAGGUUGAUAUUCCUGUACUACCGAUAACCGUUUGAGAGAAGGGAUGACACAGUAGGAUAAGCUAAGCACACUGUUGGUUAUGUGUGCCCAAGCAUUGAGGCAGUCAAAGUAGGCAAAUCCGCUUUGAUAAUGCUGGGAUGUGAUGGGGAGCGAAAUUUAGUAGCGAAGUAGCUGAUUUCACACUGUCAAGAAAAGUCUCUAUCGAGGUUAAAGGUACCCGUACCGCAAACCGACACAGGUGGGUGAGGAGAGUAUCCUAAGGCCAGCGAGAGAACUGUUGUUAAGGAACUCGGCAAAAUGACCCCGUAACUUAGGGAUAAGGGGUGCCACCAUCAGGUGGCCGCAGAGAAUAGGCCCAAGCGACUGUUUACCAAAAAC